UACGGGAAGGCAGCAGUGGGGAAUAUUGCACAAUGGGCGAAAGCCUGAUGCAGCUAUGCCGCGUGUAUGAAGAAGGCCUUAGGGUUGUAAAGUACUUUCAUCGGGGAGGAAAAACAAAACUAAUAAUUUUAUUUCUUGACGUUACCCGAAAAAGAAGCACCGGCUAACUCCGUGCCAGCAGCCGCGGUAAUACGGAGGGUGCUAGCGUUAAUCAGAAUUACUGGGCGUAAAGAGCACGUAGGUGGUUUUUUUAAGUCAGAUGUGAAAUCCCUGGGCUUAACCUAGGAACUGCAUUUUGAAACUGAAAUACUAGAGUAUCGUAGAGGGAGGUAGAAUUCUAGGUGUAGCGGUGAAAUGCGUAGAUAUCUGGAGGAAUACCUGUGGCGAAAGCGGCCUCCUAAACGAAUACUGACACUGAGGUGCGAAAGCGUGGGGAGCAAAACAGGGAUUAGAUACC
rnacentral:rRNA from 1 species